UCCUACGGGAGGCAGCAGUGAGGAAUAUUGGUCAAUGGUCGGGAGACUGAACCAGCCAAGCCGCGUGAGGGAUGAAGGUACAGAGUAUCGUAAACCUCUUUUGUCAGGGAACAAAGGCGGGGACGUGUCCCCGGAUGAGUGUACCUGAAGAAAAAGCAUCGGCUAACUCCGUGCCAGCAGCCGCGGUAAUACGGAGGAUGCGAGCGUUAUCCGGAUUUAUUAGGUUUAAAGGGUGCGCAGGCGGUCUGUUAAGUCAGCGGUCAAAGCCCGGGGCUCAACCCCGGCCCGCCGUUGAAACUGGCAGU
rnacentral:rRNA from 1 species